rnacentral:rRNA from 1 species
UGGGGAAUAUUGGACAAUGGGGGGAACCCUGAUCCAGCCAUGCCGCGUGUGUGAAGAAGGCCUUAUGGUUGUAAAGCACUUUAAGCGAGGAGGAGGGUACUGGUAUUAAUACUACCAGGUACUGGACGUUACUCGCAGAAUAAGCACCGGCUAACUCUGUGCCAGCAGCCGCGGUAAUACAGAGGGUGCGAGCGUUAAUCGGAUUUACUGGGCGUAAAGCGUGCGUAGGCGGCUAAUUGAGUCGGAUGUGAAAUCCCCGAGCUUAACUUGGGAAUUGCAUUCGAUACUGGUUAGCUAGAGUGUGGGAGAGGAUGGUAGAAUUCCAGGUUUAGCGGUGAAAUGCGUAGAGAUCUGGAGGAAUACCGAUGGCGAAGGCAGCCAUCUGGCCUAACACUGACGCUGAGGUACGAAAGCAUGGGGAGCAAACAGG